GCUGGGUGCGGUGGUGAACGCCUAUAAUCCCAGCAGCUUGGGAGGCCGAGGCAGGAGGAUUGCAAGUUCAAAGCCAGCCUCCGCAAUGGCGAGGCACUUAGCAACUCAGUGAGACCCUGUCUCUA
rnacentral:sRNA from 1 species